rnacentral:rRNA from 1 species
UACGUAGGCAGCGAGCGUUUGUUCGGAGUUACUGGGCGUAAAGGGUGUGUAGGCGGUCCUCUAAGUUUGGUGUGAAAUCUCCCGGCUCAACCGGGAGGGUGCGCCGAAAACUGGAGGGCUAGAGUGCGGGAAGGGAGAGUGGAAUUCCUGGUGUAGCGGUGAAAUGCGUAGAUAUCAGGAGGAACACCGGUGGUGUAGACGGCUCUCUGGACCGCGACUGACGCUGAGACACGAAAGCGUGGGGAGCAAACAGG